AGAAUCAAUAAAAAAAUAUAUAUGGAAUUUAAAGAUGCUCUACUCCCAUGUUAAUAUUCGAGCUUAUAUGAUAAUGCAGAUUGUAUUUUCACGUCCUGGCAAUGUCGGAGUAUUAGGUGAUCCAUACAAAGGUUUUCCAUCGGCAUAUCGACACCUUCUCUGAUAUAAACCACCUCAAAUUGUAUCGGGACAAUCAUCUAUACAUUUUUAAAGCAAUUUUUUAGAAAGAAUAAAACCUUCAACUCUCAAAUUGAAUCGGGACAAUCAUCUAUGUAUUGGCAAGAAGAGAACAGAAUUGCGGGCAAAAACCUUCAAAAUACAAGGCCUCCAAAGACAAUGAUCUGGAAGAAAACGAUGAACAAGUAUCUCUAUGAUGCGUAGCAACAUGUCAAGUCAGAUUAUUUGCUGCGAGGCGUUAAGGUUGGUGAGGCCUUAGAGCAUGUAACUAUUUUUACUUCGAAUAAAAGAUUGUGUCUUACGCCGUGUAGUAAACAUAUCUUGUUCUAGAUAUAACAAUCAUCCUAAUGGAUUGUACUCGUAGGACAAGUAACUAAUUAUGGAUGGUGGGAUUACAAAUUUAAGUUUUUCCUAUUUUUACACUUUUUU
rnacentral:lncRNA from 1 species